rnacentral:rRNA from 1 species
CCGUUGCCGGCGACCGGCGCACGGGUGAGUAACACGUAUGCAACCUGCCCGUGGCAGGGGGAUAAGCGGGGGAAACCCCGUCUAAUACCGCGUAACGCGGCCUAGGGACAUCCCAAGGCCGCCAAAGGGAGCAAUCCCGGCCGCGGAUGGGCAUGCGGCGCAUUAGCUAGUCGGCGGGGUAACGGCCCACCGAGGCGACGAUGCGUAGGGGUUCUGAGAGGAAGGCCCCCCACACUGGUACUGAGACACGGACCAGACUCCUACGGAAGGCAGCAG